rnacentral:rRNA from 1 species
CCUACGGGUGGCUGCAGUGGGGAAUAUUGCACAAUGGGGGAAACCCUGAUGCAGCGACGCCGCGUGAAUGAUGAAGGAUUUCGGUAUGUAAACCCCUUUUAGUAGGGAAGAAAAUGACGGUACCUGACUAAUAAGCCCCGGCUAACUACGUGCCAGCAGCCGCGGUAAUACGUAGGGUGCAAGCGUUACUCGGAAUCACUGGGUGGAAAGCGAGCGUAGGCGGGAGCGCAAGUCAGGUGUGAAAUCCUAUGGCUUAACCAUAGAACUGCAUUUGAAACUGUUGUGCUGGAGUGUGGGAGAGGUAGGUGGAAUUCGUGGUGUAGCGGUAAAAUGCGUAGAUAUCAAGAGGAACACCAAUUGCGAAGGCGGCUUACUAGACCAUAACUGACGUUGAGGCUCGAAAGCGUGGGGAGCAAACAGGAUUAGAUACCCGAGUAGUC